rnacentral:rRNA from 1 species
GACGAACGCUGGCGGCGUGCUUAACACAUGCAAGUCGAACGGAAAGGCCCUGCUUUUGUGGGGUGCUCGAGUGGCGAACGGGUGAGUAACACGUGAGUAACCUGCCCUUGACUUUGGGAUAACUUCAGGAAACUGGGGCUAAUACCGGAUAGGAGCUCCUGCUGCAUGGUGGGGGUUGGAAAGUUUCGGCGGUUGGGGCUGGACUCGCGGCUUAUCAGCUUGUUGGUGGGGUAGUGGCUUACCAAGGCUUUGACGGGUAGCCGGCCUGAGAGGGUGACCGGCCACAUUGGGACUGAGAGACGGCCCAGACUCCUACGGGAGGCAGCAGUGGGGAAUAUUGCACAAUGGGCGGAAGCCUGAUGCAGCAACGCCGCGUGCGGGAUGACGUCCUUCGGGUUGUAAACCGCUUUCGCCUGUGACGAAGCGUGAGUGACGGUAAUGGGUAAAGAAGCACCGGCUAACUACGUG